rnacentral:rRNA from 1 species
AUUGAACGCUGGCGGCAUGCCUUACACAUGCAAGUCGAACGGCAGCACGGGGCAACCUGGUGGCGAGUGGCGAACGGGUGAGUAAUGCAUCGGAACGUGCCAUUGAGUGGGGGAUAACGUAGCGAAAGUUGCGCUAAUACCGCAUAUUCUGUGAGCAGGAAAGCAGGGGACCGCAAGGCCUUGCGCUCUUUGAGCGGCCGAUGUCAGAUUAGCUAGUUGGUGAGGUAACGGCUUACCAAGGCGACGAUCUGUAGCGGGUCUGAGAGGAUGAUCCGCCACACUGGAACUGAGACACGGUCCAGACUCCUACGGGAGGCAGCAGUGGGGAAUUUUGGACAAUGGGCGCAAGCCUGAUCCAGCCAUGCCGCGUGAGUGAA